UGAUAUUGGUCUGUUUCAAUGCUCUGGCUUUGGUUGUUUUGAAUAAUGUCACUAGUGAAGACUUAAUUAUAUAGACAUUUUUGUAUCUCAAGUCUACUCCUAUUGUGAAUUGAUGGGCUGUACACUAAAUAUUACAUUUAAUCUUUGCAGAAACUGUCAGACUAGUUUCCAAAGCAACCAUACCACUUUACAAAUAUUCCCACCAGCAGAGUUUGAAGAUUACAGCUUGCCCACAUUCUUUCUUGUUAAUGGCAUCUAAACAAUAGUCGACUUAAUGGUCAGGGUGGCUAAUGCUCACCGUGGUUCUUUUAACACCGGUCUCAUGUAGCCCCGGCCGGCCUUAGACUUGUUACAAAACCAAGAGUGACUUUGAACUUCUGAUCUUCCUGCUUCCACCUCCUAAGUGCUGGGAUUAGCAUUUGCUGCUAUCCAGUUUUGCUAUAGUUUCGAUUUGCGUUUCUCUGACGUGUAAUACUAUUAAAUACUCUUUAUGUCCUUUUGGCCUCUUACAGUCUUAUCAUAAGAAACAGCUUUAUACGUCCCUCAUUUACUUGUUUUGUGCAUGCAUAUGGGGAACAGGCACAUGCUAUGGAGUGCAUAUGGAGGUCAGAGGACACGUGAGGGUCCAGGAUGUGGCUGUAGUCAUCAGGCUUGCUGAUAGGCAUUUUUACCCACAAAGCUACCUCACCAGCUCACUUUCCUCACAACUAAAUGGGCUUCUUAUCAUGGUCUUUUUAGUAUUUAUCUUUGUUACUGAAUUGGAAGAGUCAAAAUGUCCUUUUUAAAAAAACAUUUUGUUUUUACUUUCUGUGGAUAAAUAUUUUUGCCUCCAUGUUUGUAUGUGUAUUACAUGCAUUUGGUAGCUGUGGAGGCCAGAAGAGGGUGCUGGAGCCCUUGAAACUGGAGUUACAGAGGGUUAUGACCUGCUAUGUGGGUACUGGGCACCAAGCCUGGGUCCUCUGCAAAAGUAGCAAGUAUUGAGCAUCUAUCUGUCUAACUCCCUCAAAAUAGCUUUUAAAAGUGGUUUUUGAAAAAAAAUUAUAUAUUUAGUUUAUACACUGCAUUUGACUUUUUCUUCCCAUUAUAUUCUAAAGUACAAUAAUCAGGGUUGGCAAGAGAGCUCAGUGCAUAAAACAUGUUGCCUUGGACGCCUGGUGACGACAUCAGUUUGAUCCCUAGAACCACAAUGGGAGAAGAAAACUGACCCCCAAAAGUAGUACACUGAUCUCCACACAGGUAGUGUGGAUGCAUGGACCCUCACUUACACUUGAUCCUUGUUUAUAUCACAUACAUCAUGUCUAACUGCAAAAUCAUAAUAUCUAAUGUCAGGGAAAUCUUUAACAUUAUAAACAAGUUACAGAACUUUUACUUUAAAAAAAAAAGCUAAAUCCAACAUUUAAAAAAGGAACAAAAUUUGAAAAGGUCUAACUAACAAUAGCACAUUCAGGCUCUGACAAAGGAGUUCUGCUACAAAGUAAAAGCAUAGGAGAAAAGCUGAUAUAUUUAGAUUUGAUACAAGAUAAAUACACUGAGGGAACAAGACACAAACAAAAGCAUACUUUGAUGAAGGCUGACUUUACAGGCUCAUUCACUUCUGUGUCAAGAAUCACAAGGUGAGUCAGGAAAUUAGAAAUAACAAGAAGAAGGUUCUACUCAAAUGAACUCAAGUGCUCAUUGAGGCUAAGAGUCAGGACCUUGGUGCCUACUACAAAAUAUGCUGUGAACUUUUUUUUUUCCUAAAGCAAGCUAUAGACCUUCCUAAAACAACACAGUUUAUUGCUACUAUUCUUGGUUGCCUUUCAGAACUAGACAGUAAAAUACUAUUGCUAAAGAGCAGCAUACUUUGGUUGUAGAAUAUAUAGAAAUCAAGCUGAAACUGGUUUUAAAACCUCCUCCCUGCUGGCUAGCUAGUUUCUGUGUAAGGAGGUGUUAUGCAGGCUGCUGUGGGAAAACAAAAACAAAAACAAAAACAUCACUGUGUCACCCAGUAGUGAACCUUACAUGCUACAAUACUAUCCUGCCAGGUAAGAUACACCCAAUGAUGAAUAAUGGCAAAGAGUAACGAACUACUUUUGGAUUGGAUUUAAGGCCUGUUCUACAGGAAGGAAUUCAUUCAUGUCUGGUACUAUAAAUCUGGUUAAAAACCCCAUGAUUAGUCAGAUCAAAGGCCCUGGGGGUGGGGGUUGGGGCAAGGAGGCAUAUCUGAUACUAAUUGGUUUUGCUAAAUUGGCAUGUUGUAAACUACCUUUUAAAUAUUUGUGUUUACACACAUAGGGCUAUCCUAACCAUGGCUAGAGAAGCUUAAGCUUGUCUCUGCAGUUAAGAGCAGAGACUCUUAACUGGUCAAAGUGUGAAUGAGUGACUAUUGACUGCUUAGCCCUAAUGGGACAUCUCUAUCAACCCUUGCUCUACAACUUAGGACACACCAGAAAAGCGGGGGUGGAAAAAAAUAUGAGAGCCAAAGGAUGGGAGGAGUGCUGUGAACACUGUCUUCUAGACAGAACAAGGCCAUCCUAACUCAUGAGCUCACUACAGCUAUGUAACAUGCAAAACACUUGUACAAGAUCAAGCCAACAAUAUCGUAAGUCAACAUUCCAAUAGGUAGUACUCAGUACACUACAAAAAGAUGUGGAAAGAUGGGGCGGGGGGUGGCAUGCUGGAGGUGCGUGGGGGAGUGGGGGGUGUAUAAUAUGAUCAAGAUGCAUUGUUUAUAUGAAUGAAAAUGUCAAAGAAUAAACACAAGAUAUUAUAUUUAAAAAUACAGUUACAGACCUAAGAAAGGGAUUGGCCACUGACACACUUCAAGCUAGAAAACAAAUUAACUUCCACAGUUAAUAUGUAAUGUUUUUGGUUUAAUCCACUGUUUUUACACCUGAUUCUUGUUAGAUGUAAAUGCAGGAUUGGGUGCUAUGGGUGCACACAGAUAGAAGCAAGGAGACUACUAUGCAGAAAGAGAAAAGUAAAAUUCUAAAAUUCCUAAUUUUAUAGAAGCCAUGAACAUGAAGUAUUAAAGAAAAAUUAGGAUGUCAGGUUAACAAAAUCAGUACUAAAAAAAAUGAAAAAAUGAAUAGCCUAAUACCAAGAUUCCUAGAUAUUUAAAAUCAUCAGUGAUAUUAUCUAGUUUUAAGAAAAUCAAAUGAGCUGGGCAUGGUGGUGCAUACCUUUGAUAUUAACACUUGGGGAUAAGGCAAAGACUGGUGCAUCCCUGUGAGUUUGAGGCUAGCCAGGACUACAUACCAAGUUCCAGGCCUACCAAGGCUACAUAUACAUAGUAAGACCUUGUCUCAAAAAGGCAAAUCAAACAUGAAAUAAAAACAUGUAAUGUGAAGUAAUGUAUUAGAAAUCUCAGACAUGAUGCCGCAGCAUUAGGGAAUGCCUUGUAAGUAUAAUACUAGGGAAAAACAAAAAACAAAAAAACAGUUGUAUGCUGAGGAGAGUGGAGACCUAAGAACUGCAUGCUAAGGGUGGACUUCAUAAACACAAGAACUCUCCAAUCAGAAAUAACUAACUGGAAGACCUGCUGCUGCUGCUGCUGCUGCUGGGUCACAAAAGAAAAAGAUUUUGCUUAAAGCAUUAGAGAACAAGGUACUGAGAAAAUUUAAAAUCAAGGUGAUGAAAGAAGAAGACAUCCAGAGUUGUCUAGGGACAGCAGCUGAUCCAGGAAGAGAUGGUCGCAGGCACAGCUGCUUAGGCCAUUUAGCACAAUGCCUGGAGCAAGUUCAGAUUGGGAUCUUAAAGGACUACAUGCUAUUAGGGAGAACAGAUUGAGAGGAAAUAGACCAGCUUUGGGCUAAACAAAAAAAUAUGCUUCAAAUAAGCCCAAUCCUUGACUGGAUUAAAGUACCCUAUAUUGCCGUUGCUCUGACAGUGAGAAGUCAGUCUCCAGAGGAAGACAGCUCACAGGUUUCGAAUCAUCUUAAUCACCUACAUAAGGUUCAGCUCUCUACAACGAAACUGGGCCUCCAUGAUGACAACACUAUAUGUUUCUUUAAAAGAACAUUAACAAUACAGAGCUCCAUAGCUACAGAGAAAUCCAGAAAAUGAAACAGAUUUUAAAUGUAAAGACAAGGAUUUCUCAGCAAGUCAUAGAAGACAUAAAAUCAGACUGAAAGGAAAUUCCAAAGAAAACAAAAACCUUUCAAUCUAUGAACUCAAUGGCUGGUUUAAUUAGAUACAGGUUAUAUUAAAAAAAACAAAUCAAGGCUUAGGGCUAAGGAGUUGGCUGAGAAGGCGAAGUCCUUGUUGUGUAAGGACUGAGUUUGGAUCCUCAGCACUUUCAUGGAGACAUGUUUCUAUACUCCAGAGAUGAGGAAACAGGAGGUUCCCAGGGUCUCGCCUGCAAACAGUCCAGUCUAGGCUAGUCCCAGGUUCAGUGAGACCCUACCUCAAAAUUUAAGGUGUAAGGUAGACAGUGACAGGGGAGGACGCCUGAGGUUGACCUUUGGCCUCUAGACACAGAUCUGUGAGCGUACUAACCGCCCCCCUCUCCCGGCCCUGCACCUUAGCCAGGUAGUAUUGUCAUUCAUGCCUGUAACCUGGGAGGCUGAGAAAAGAGGAUCUUGAGUACGAAGUCAACCUGGGCAAUCUAGCUAGACUGUGUCAAAGAUACAAAAGAAAAAGAAAAAGGAAAAGGAAAAGAAAAAAAACAAAGAAAAGGAAAAAGAAAAAAAAAGGACAAAAAUUAAAAAGAGGGGAGUAUAAAGAGACAACAAACAAGCAAUAUUUUAAGACAAAAAAAAAAAAAGCUGAAAAAUUUCUGAAAUUCAUGAAAGAUACCAAAGUCAGACCUAAGUAUUCCUACAACUCCUACUCAGAAUAAAAAUGCAUAUAGAAGCCUAAAGUAGUUCAAUGCUGAAAAACAACCAACCAACCAACCUACGUCAAACAAUCAGAAAAAUAGUGAAAGCAGCUGGCAGUGGUUCAGGGUGGGGACAUUUUUAGGCAAGAAUAAGAAAUGACUGAAAUUAUCAAAAAGCUACCAAAAGCAAAAAGCCAGGAACAAAAUUAGGUCUCUUGAUGUUAAGACAGAUGAUCUCUAGAUUCCUUGCUAACAACAGUAGGCAUUUUUACAGUUCAAAGCACAUUAGAUAAUGCUUCUUGUACCAGAUACAAUGUUUAGAGGUUCUUAGCCUGUGGUCAUAACCCUCUUGGCAACCUUUUAUCUCCAAAAAUAUUUACAUUAUGAUUCCUAACAGUAGCAAAAUUAUAUUUAUGAAGUAGCAACAAAAAUAAUUUUAUGAUUGAGGUCACCAUAACAUGAAAAACUGUAUUAAAGGGUUGUAGCAUUAGGAAGAUUGAGAACCACUGGUUUGAAGAUGAGUGUUCAAACAAUAUUUAAAGGUAUAAUUAUGUUAAAAACUUUGGUGAGUUAAGAAAAAUUCAGAAGGCGAUUGCCUGUAAGUCCCAACACUGCGGAAGUUUAGGUAGAAAGACCACUGGGAGCUCAAGGCUACCCUGUCUCUCUGGCAAGACAUCUGUCUAGGAAGAAAGAAAGAAAGACACACAGAAAGAAAGGAAUAAAAGACAGAAAAAAAAAGAGAAAUGAAUAAGUGAUUUCUUAAAUACUUUGAGUACUGCAUACUGUAGGUACUGAAAUGGAUGGAAAAAUACAGAUUAUACGUGUAUAGUUAUAUCACAGAGGACCUAGGUAUUAUAUAAAAUCUUUUUUUUCUUUUUUUUGGUUUAUUUAUUUUAUUUUCAAUAUAUAGCUAUCUUCAGACACACCAGAAGAAGGCAUUGGAUCUCAUGCCUUCUUGGAUCACAACUCAUGGUUGUGAGCCACCAUGCUGUUGCUGGGAAUUGAACUCCAGACCUCUGGAAGAGCAGUCAGUGCUCUUAACUGCUGAGUCAUCUUUCCAGCCAGCCCCAAUAAAAUCUUAAAGAGAAAAAUCAUCUACCUAAAGAAAUAAAAUGUUAACUUUUCAAUAAAAAAAUUUUCAGUGCAAAAUUUUCUCAUUAAAAAACUGAUAUAAAGACAAAAGUAUAAUUUAAAAAAGGAAUCCAAUAUCACAUAGGAACAUAAAUCUUAAAAUAAUACAGAAUCCAGGACAGUAUAUUAAAAAAAGGAAGCUAAGUAGGUUCAUUUAAAAAUGCAAGAUAAGUUCAACAUUAAUGGAAUAACCCAUAAUUGCAUACCAUUAGUAAAACAAAUAUAAACAGGUACAGAAAACAAUCAUAAAAUUUAAGGCACAUACAACAAAACAACAACAAACCCAGAAGGCUAAGUAAUGUUCAGAGAAGUUUAACGGGAUAGCAAAGAACACACUUAGAAACAUUCUAAUGAAAGUAUCACCAAUAAGUGUUGCUUUAACACGAAAAAUACAGCUUAUCACUCUAAUUGUAUCUAUUAGUUACUGUGCCCAAGUGUUUUAGUACUUUUAAAAGAGCACCAGAUUUUCCAAUAAGAGAAAAGUACUCCAACGUACAGAGAUUUUUACGCGCCAGGAAAACGUACAAACUUGCUCUGAAAUCAUGUCGCCUGGAUUAAGGUAUCUAUUUAUCCAAAGAAAACACAGGUUCCUGAAACUCUAAUUCUGUUUUAAAUUUUUAAAAGUUGCAGACCCAUUUGUUACUGAUUUAAAUCAAAGCAAAUAAAAACUUUAUAGGCCUUAGACGACAGUCACACACACAAUUUUGUACACAAAGGCUACCCACAGACCUCGAAUUCCUGUCUUAGAAUUCUUUCAACCCUCAACCUAAACGUUAAGUUAUGCUAGAAAAGAAAGCCAAGGGUAAGAGCUUGGAUUCCAUGUUGCGUAAACGUGACCUUUGGGUCGUUCAACCAACUUCUGGAGAGGCUGUAAAGCUUUUCCAUGACUUUUGCUCUCUAUCCUUGUCCUGGCUGGGCCAACGUCGCGCUCGGCAGCAGACCCAAGCUCGUCGCUUUGAAGCGGGUCAGGCUGUCCCGCCCCCCCAUGUCCCGCAAAAGCGAAAAGGCAGGGAAGCGCCGCUUUUCUUUCUAGCUCCUGCAUCCGUGGGGCCGGCGGGGCGCCCGGGGGAAGAACGGGCGGUCGUACAGCCAGCAGACUCCAGACCCGCUCUGCACUCGCCCCGGGCCGGCAGCGGGAAGCGACGCCUCCCCCCAAUAACGGCUUCAACCGCCUCCUGCCAAGUCCCCGCUCUGGCCUCCAAAGUCGCGGCCCAAACACCUCACACUCACUGUAUGCUUCCACUGACUGAGGAGAACAAGCACGUGGCACAGCUGUUGUUCAGUUCUGGCACCUGUCCAAGAUGCAUCUUAAGAUUCUGUGGUGUGGAUCUUCCCGCACCUUACAAACACCCAUCCAAGGAGUUGCUCAAUGAGCUACAAAAAUUUCUAGAACCGGAAAAACCUGAAUUAAUUUUAGAAGCUCCAAACCCACCAUUGAAGAAAAUUCGUCUACAUGAAGAUGGGAUUGAUAAUUUGAGUGAAGAUGGAAAGGAGGGAGUCUCUGUUACUGAAGAUGAAAGCAUGGCUGAGAAGCCUUCAAAGCUGAGAGUGUGCAAUGUUUGCUUAGGAAUUCUUCAGGAAUUCUGUGAGAAGGGGUUUAUUACGAAGGUGUGCCAAAAGGUUGAAGCCUCUGGGUUUGAAUUCACCAGCGUGGUUUUAUCUGUCUCCUUUCCACCGCAGCUGUCUGUAAGAGAGCAUGCUGCAUGGUUGCUGGUAAAACAGGAAAUGGGAAAGCAGAGUCUGUCCCUGGGAAGAAAUGAUGUAGUCCAGCUGAAAGAAGCCUACAAGUGGAUAACUCACCCCCUGUUUUCAGAGGAGCUGGGCGUUCCCACUGAUGGAAAGAGCUUGUUCGAAGUGAGCGUGGUCUUUGCUCAUCCAGAAACAGCUGAAGAUUGCCAUUUCCUUGUCUCACAAUGUUGCUCUGGCUGUCCUGGAACUCACUAUGUAGACCAGGCUGGCCUCAAAUUCAGAGUUACAUUUGCCUUCUGCCUCACAAGUGCUGGGAUGAAAGGCAUAUGUCACCACCACCUGGCUAGAUUUUUAUCUUAACUUGAAUUUUAUUUCAGAGGUGAAGUUUGCCGAGAUUGUUUCAAACCAGCUAAAAAUAAACAGUCGGUAUUUACCAGAAUGGCAGUUUUGAAAGCUUUGAGUAAGAUAAAAGAAGAAGACUUCCUCGGGCAAUUUCCUUGUCCUCCAAACUCACCGAAGACUGUAUGCACUGUCCUUGAAGUUGAGUGCACUCAUGGUGCUGUUUUUGUCGCUGGCAGAUAUAAUAAAUACUCCAGGAAUCUACCACAAACUCCUUGGAUAAUUGAUGGAGAAAGGAAAAUGGAAUCUUCGGUGGAAGAAUUAAUUUCAGAUCAUCUUCUGGCAGUAUUCAGAGCAGAGAGUUUUAAUUUCUCAUCCUCGGGACGAGAAGACGUAGACGUGAGAACAUUAGGAAAUGGAAGGCCCUUUGCAGUUGAACUUCUGAAUCCUCAUCGAGUGCAUUUCACCUCACAAGAAAUGAAGGAGCUCCAGCAGACAAUUAAUAAAUCAUCUGACAAAAUCCAAGUCCGUGACUUGCAGCUUGUCACCAGGGAGGCAAUAGGGCAUAUGAAGGAAGGUGAGGAAGAAAAGACUAAGACCUACAGUGCCUUGAUAUGGACGAAUAGAGCUAUCCAGAAGAAGGACAUUGGGUUCCUGGACGACUUAAAGGACUUAAAGAUUGACCAGAAAACACCUCUCCGAGUCCUUCACCGAAGGCCUUUGGCUGUGAGAACUCGGGCCAUUCACUCUAUGAAGACACACUACCUGGAUGAGCAUCAUUUUCGUCUGCAUUUGAAGACCCAAGCUGGAACUAGUUGGUAUUGCAUAAUCUUUUCCUUAAAGAGACCUAGCUACAUUAAAGAAUUUGUACAUGGAGACUUUGGGAGAACCAAACCAAACCUUGGCUCUUUGAUGAACGUGACUGCAGACAUUCUUGAGCUGGAUGUGGAGUCUGUAGAUGUUGACUGGCCGCCUGCUCUGGAUGACUAGCUCCCACGUGUGAACACAAAAGGCUUUCCUGGCAUGAUGUGGACAUACAGGCAGCAUAUCCUGGAAAAUGACUGUUUACCCACCAUAACGGUGUCUUCAAAACCACUUGGAUCAUGUUGAUCUGUUCCUAAAGUUCACUGUAACAUCUCAGGAUCUAUUUGUACGCAUAUUUUGUGUUGUGUUGUGUUGUUCUAAGAAUGUCUUAUGUUUUCUCAUUCCCUGUCUCAUGACCACAAAACCAAAAUAGAAGGAAUGAAACCAUUUUCCUUCUAAAGUCUGUUACUUAGAGAGAGAUGUAAUGGGAGGCCCUGUCAGUCAGGAGAGCUGGGACUUCUAGCAUAAUCUCCUGCAGGGGAUGAUACCUUCAAAGUAACUUGCUAAAGCUUUCAGAUCAUCUGAAUAAAUGUUACAACUAGACUCAUGUAGAAGAGUGUCCUAUAAUAUUCCAAUAUGUCAAAUGUAAAUCUGAUUCUAAUAUUUUCCAGUUACUCUCAAACAAGCUUCUAUUAUCAAUAGAAGUACUUUAAGGAACAAUUUGUCAUAGUCCUUAUGACCUCAAGUGACUAUUUUGACAAUCGAAAAUUGUCAGUAUGUGUCUCCUGCAAAGCAAGUGACACCUUACCCCUGGAGGCGUACUCUAGACACUGCCUACCUCUUUUGUCUUUUAUGUAAAGAGAAACAAGUGCCUUCAGUAACUUUUGUCCCAGAGUUACAAAUUUGAAAAUUCGAUAAUGCUAAACAAAUACAAACAUAUUUUGGUGUUUCAAUUAUUUUCCAAUUUCAAAUGUUUUCUAAUUUCAAGUGGUCUAUCUAACAUCUGAUUACAUAAACAAGGAAACAAAAGUUAAAUGACACACCUAGUUACUCUUAUAACAGGUCUGGAGCUGAUGUUGUGUCUCCAGGAGCCUUUCUAAAAACCCUUGUCAGGAGCACCUGCAUCUCCUGUGGGUGACAGUGUCCUAAGAAGGACAGUUAGGCUUACAAAGCCAGGAGGUUGGCUUCUGGAACUUGGAUAUCAAGUGACGCCCCCAAGAAAUGGCUAAUGGUAUGUCUUAUAUGAUCUCAUAAUUGUCAAUUGUAAUGGCAUGGUGAAGAGAAAUCUUAAACAUAUUGAACCAGAAGAAUUAAUCAUCAAAAAUACCAGAAGGGAAGCUCAAUAAAAUUUUGACUUAAGUAAAAUUUUCAUCAGCUAGUGCAACUUCUUGACUUUUUUUGAUGCAUUGAUUUGAAUAGCAUUUGAUUAUUCACGUUUCUCAUCUUUGCACACAAUUCAUACUGACUCUGAAAGAUGUAUUAUAUCAGGAAGAUGUUUUUGAUUGCGAUGAAAGGGCAGCCUGCUCCUUUGAAACCUUGUUUCAUCAUGUGUGAAUAAUAGCAAAGGGUUUUUCAUUGUCAGAAAAUUGAAAAGGAGAUAACAGAAACUAACUGAUGAAAAGUGAAAAGUUAAAGACUUCUAUGUAAUGUUUCUCAGCUUCUGAUGAAAUUUUGCUAAAAGAUUAAAUAAUUUGGGAAAAGUC